AGUGAACGCUGGCGGUAGGCCUAACACAUGCAAGUCGAACGGCAGCACAGUAAGAGCUUGCUCUUACGGGUGGCGAGUGGCGGACGGGUGAGGAAUACAUCGGAAUCUACUUUUUCGUGGGGGAUAACGUAGGGAAACUUACGCUAAUACCGCAUACGACCUACGGGUGAAAGCAGGGGAUCUUCGGACCUUGCGCGAUUGGAUGAGCCGAUGUCGGAUUAGCUAGUUGGCGGGGUAAAGGCCCACCAAGGCGACGAUCCGUAGCUGGUCUGAGAGGAUGAUCAGCCACACUGGAACGGAGACAGGGUCCAGGCUCCUACGGGAGGCAGCAGUGGGGAAUAUUGGACAAUGGGCGCAAGCCUGAUCCAGCCAUACCGCGUGGGUGAAGAAGGCCUUCGGGUUGUAAAGCCCUUUUGUUGGGAAAGAAAAGCAGCAGGUUAAUACCCCGCUGUUCUGACGGUACCCAAAGAAUAAGCACCGGCUAACUUCGUG
rnacentral:rRNA from 1 species